rnacentral:rRNA from 1 species
UACGGGGGGAGCAAGCGUUGUUCGGAUUUACUGGGCGUAAAGGGCGCGUAGGCGGCCACCGCAAGUCGACUGUGAAAUCUCCGGGCUUAACCCGGAAAGGUCAGCCGAUACUGCGGGGCUAGAGUGCAGAAGGGGCAACUGGAAUUCUCGGUGUAGCGGUGAAAUGCGUAGAGAUGUGGAGGAACACCGAUGGCGAAGGCAGCCCCCUGGGCUAACACUGACGCUCAUGCACGAAAGCGUGGGGAGCAAACAGG